UGAAGGCCCAGCUUGCUGGGUUGGAUGAGUGGCGAACGGGUGAGUAACACGUGAGUAACCUGCCCCCUUCUUUGGGAUAACGGUCGGAAACGGCUGCUAAUACCGGGUAUUCACUGUCCUUCGCAUGGGGGGUGGUGGAAAGGUUUUUUCUGGUGGGGGAUGGGCUCGCGGCCUAUCAGCUUGUUGGUGGGGUGAUGGCUUACCAAGGCUUUGACGGGUAACCGGCCUGAGAGGGUGACCGGUCACAUUGGGACUGAGAUACGGCCCAGACUCCUACGGGAGGCAGCAGUGGGGAAUAUUGCACAAUGGGCGAAAGCCUGAUGCAGCGACGCCGCGUGAGGGAUGACGGCCUUCGGGUUGUAAACCUCUUUCGCUCAUGGUCAAGCCGCAACAGUGGUUGUGGUGAGGGUAGUGGGUAAAGAAGCACCGGCUAACUACGUGCCAGCAGCCGCGGUAAUACGUAGGGUGCGAGCGUUGUCCGGAAUUAUUGGGCGUAAAGGGCUUGUAGGCGGUUUGUCGCGUCUGCCGUGAAAUCCUCUGGCUUAACUGGGGGCGUGCGGUGGGUACGGGCAGGCUUGAGUGCGGUAGGGGAGACUGGAACUCCUGGUGUAGCGGUGGAAUGCGCAGAUAUCAGGAAGAACACCGGUG
rnacentral:rRNA from 1 species